CCUACGGGAGGCAGCAGUGGGGGAUAUUGCACAAUGGGGGAAACCCUGAUGCAGCGACGCCGCGUGUGGGAAGACGGUCUUCUGGAUUGUAAACCACUGUCCCCAGGGACGAAAAUGACGGUACCUGGGGAGGAAGCUCCGGCUAACUACGUGCCAGCAGCCGCGGUAAUACGUAGGGAGCAAGCGUUGUCCGGAAUUACGGGGUGAAAAGGGAGCGUAGGCGGGGAUGCAAGUUGGGUGUCAAAACUACCGGCUCAACCGAUAGUCGCACUCAAAACUGCAACUCUUGAGUGAAGUAGAGGCAGGCGGAAUUCCUAGUGUAGCGGUGAAAUGCGUAGAUAUUAGGAGGAACACCAGUGGCGAAGGCGGCCUGCUGGGCUUUUACUGACGCUGAGGCUCGAAAGUGUGGGGAGCAAACAGGAUUAGAUACCCGAGUAGUC
rnacentral:rRNA from 1 species